AUUGAGUUCUUUUUUGUUUAUUUUUGCUUGGGUUGUUUUUGUUUAGUAAUUUUUUGGUAUCAUAGGGGCUACAACAGAAGACAGUAAGAUUAGAACAAGGCCUUUCAGAUGAGUGGCUGGAGGACGUUUUCAGAGGAGUGCCCAGCAAUAACCACAGGCUGAAGGAUAUCAGCAGCAACUUACUGAGUACAGGAUCUGCUCCAUGAGUGCAGUCCCACCUGCUUACACUGUAAGGGAAGAGCAAGCUGCAGCCCAGAGGCACCCCCAGGCAUCGUGCUCCUGUUCAGUUGAUGAUUUUGGGGGACUUUGCCCAUCUAAAAUGGGACAUUUGGAGCUUUGUCAUCCAGAUGCCCCCUUCAGCCCUGCUCAGCUUCUCUGUGCACCUGUAGGAGUAUGAAAGUCUGGUCCAGGUUACUGCUUCUGGGUGACAGACACCGUUAAAGAUGUUCCACUUUUCUGCUGAGACUAAGAAAACUCAAGAUGACUAAAUCAGCAAUAAAAGCUAAAAAGAAAACGAUGACA
rnacentral:lncRNA from 1 species